rnacentral:rRNA from 1 species
GAUGAACGCUGGCGGCGUGCCUAAUACAUGCAAGUCGAGCGAACAGACGAGGAGCUUGCUCCUCUGACGUUAGCGGCGGACGGGUGAGUAACACGUGGAUAACCUACCUAUAAGACUGGGAUAACUUCGGGAAACCGGAGCUAAUACCGGAUAAUAUAUUGAACCGCAUGGUUCAAUAGUGAAAGACGGUUUUGCUGUCACUUAUAGAUGGAUCCGCGCCGCAUUAGCUAGUUGGUAAGGUAACGGCUUACCAAGGCAACGAUGCGUAGCCGACCUGAGAGGGUGAGCGGCAACACUGGAACGGAGACACGGUCCAGAAUCCUACGGGAGGCAGCAGUAGGGAAUCUUCCGCAAUGGGCGAAAGCUUGACGGAGCAACGCCGCGUGAGUGAUGAAGGUCUUCGGAUCGUAAAACUCUGUUAUUAGGGAAGAACAAAUGUGUAAGUAACUAUGCACGUCUUGACGGUACCUAAUCAGAAAGCCACGGCUAACUACGUG